UACGUAGGGUCCGAGCGUUGUCCGGAACUAUUGGGCGUAAAGGGCUCGUAGGCGGUUUGUCGCGUCGGGAGUGAAAACCAGAGGCUUAACUUCUGGCUUGCUUUCGAUACGGGCAGACUUGAGGCAUGCAGGGGAGAACGGAAUUCCUGGUGUAGCGGUGAAAUGCGCAGAUAUCAGGAGGAACACCGGUGGCGAAGGCGGUUCUCUGGGCAUGUUCUGACGCUGAGGAGCGAAAGUGUGGGGAGCGAACAGG
rnacentral:rRNA from 1 species